AUCAGUCCAUACUAAUUCCCCAAACACAUAACCUUCUUGCUUUCCCUUUCCACUUCUAUUCAACAACACCUUGAAGCUUUUCUCUUCAUCCAUAGCAGUAAAAUCUAAUAUUCUUGGCUCAACAAUGAUUGAAACUUCCAAUGGCGUCUUCACUCUAGCAACGUAUGUCCCUGGACUUCCCACAUUCUUCAAUUUUCGAUUGAUCGCCACAGGACCCAUUUUCAGAUUUGUAACUGAGAUUGAUGGAUUUAAUAGCUGCUGGACUCCAUUUGGGGUUUAGGGUUUUGAGAAGGCCUACAAUGCCAGCAAUAUGGGGGCAGGCCAUGGAUGUGCCAGAAUCUACUUUAAAAGGAGAUUGACGAUCGUCCAAUGGUGCUUCUGUCAAUGGUAUGCCGUCGGGGACCACAAAAUUGGUGAAACCUCUAUCAAUAGUACUAGCUCCAACAGUUAGAAUCCAUGGCGACACAUUUGAUACAGUCCCAGGAGUUGGUCCCACGUUCCCAGCAGAGGAAACAACAACAAUACCUCGCUCAACUGCAUGGAAUGCCCCUACAGAGAGUGCAUCACUAAAGAACUCUUUGGGCUCUCCACCAACAGAAAUCGAGAUAACAUCAACGCCAUCCUCAAUUGCAGCUUCAAAGGCAGCUAAGGUAUUUGGGUCCACACACUCGUUGGUUUCGUCUGGCCAACAAACCUUAUAGGACGCAACACGGGCUCUAGGGGAGCCACCUUUGACAGUACCAUUGCCCAUGCCCAAAACAUUAGCACCAGGUACAAAAUUGCCACCAGCUAUGGAUAAAGUGUGGGUUCCAUGCCCUACAUUGUCUCUUGAAGAAUUGAAGGUAUCAGUAAGUUCACCAUAGCCUAUGUUGAAGAAUCUUGCUCCAAUCAAUUUUCUGCAUUUAAGGUAGCCAUUUUGAAUUAACUACCAUAAUAGAAAUAGAAGAAAAAAAACUGAUGUAGGAUAUGAAUCUCUUGACCUAUUACAACGAAACUUGGGGUCGGCAUCACUUUGACAAGUUCCCAUCCACCUUGGGGGGAUAGGUCCAUAGCCUUCAUCACUAAAGCUCUUAGAUUCUGGCCAAACACCUAUAAUCCCAAUUACAUGAACAGUGUUAGGGGCCGUUUGUUUUUCGGAAGGCAUAUAACCAAACGUUCAUAUGUCGGGAAUUACAUAUGUUCUGUAUCCUUUAUAACCAUGUUUGUUUGUUGAAAUUACAUAACAUGUUUAAUAUAGUUUUAUUAUUUUA